GGGUGCGAUCAUACCAGCACUAAUGCUCCGGAUCCCAUCAGAACUCCGCAGUGAAGCAUGCUUGGGUGAGUGUAGUACUAGGAUGGGUGACCCCUUGGGAAGUCCUCGUGUUGCACCCC